rnacentral:tRNA from 1 species
UAUUAUAGACUUGAAGUUGCUUAAGUGUCACACAAAUUGCUUGAUAUUUAGUUAAUGAAGAACGAUUUGAAGGCCUGUAGCUCAGCUGGUUAGAGCGCACCCCUGAUAAGGGUGAGGUCGGUGGUUCAAGUCCACUCAGGCCUACCAGUUUUGGUAGAUAGAUCAUGGGGCUAUAGCUCAGCUGGGAGAGCGCCUGCUUUGCACGCAGGAGGUCUGCGGUUCGAUCCCGCAUAGCUCCACCAUAUCUUCACUCUAAACGAUAUUUUUAUAAGAUUUUAGAAUGCCGUGAAAUGAUUAUUAGAUGAUUAUUUCACGUUGUUUUGACUUGGUUAAAAUAAUGUAUUUUUGUUCUUUAACAAUGUGGUAAAAAGUAUAAGUAAAGAUUCCUUGAUUAAUUUAGGGUUAUUUUUAGUUUUGAUUAAGAUGUAUUUUUAUAUCUUGAUUGAUAAUUGGGAAUAAUUUUUAGUUUAUUUAAUUAACGAGUCUUGGUAAUUUUUGAAAACCGGUGUUGAGAUAUAAUGUUGAUUUGUUUUAUUUAAGAUAAGACUUUUUGGGGUUAUAUGA